rnacentral:rRNA from 1 species
CCUACGGGUGGCAGCAGUGAGGAAUAUUGGUCAAUGGACGAGAGUCUGAACCAGCCAAGUAGCGUGAAGGAUGACUGCCCUAUGGGUUGUAAACUUCUUUUAUAUGGGAAUAAAACGUUCCACGUGUGGGAUUUUGUAUGUACCAUAUGAAUAAGGAUCGGCUAACUCCGUGCCAGCAGCCGCGGUAAUACGGAGGAUCCGAGCGUUAUCCGGAUUUAUUGGGUUUAAAGGGAGCGUAGGUGGAUUGUUAAGUCAGUUGUGAAAGUUUGCGGCUCAACCGUAAAAUUGCAGUUGAAACUGGCAGUCUUGAGUACAGUAGAGGUGGGCGGAAUUCGUGGUGUAGCGGUGAAAUGCUUAGAUAUCACGAAGAACUCCGAUUGCGAAGGCAGUUCACUGGACUGCAGCUGACACUGAGGCUCGAAAGUGUGGGUAUCAAACAGGAUUAGAUACCCUUGUAGUC